rnacentral:rRNA from 1 species
GCAGUGGGGAAUCUUGCGCAAUGGGCGAAAGCCUGACGCAGCAACGCCGCGUGGGGGAUGAAGGCUCUCGGGUUGUAAACCCCUUUCAGCAGGGACGAAUCAAGACGGUACCUGCAGAAGAAGCCCCGGCUAACUACGUGCCAGCAGCCGCGGUAACACGUAGGGGGCAAGCGUUGUCCGGAUUUAUUGGGCGUAAAGAGCUCGUAGGUGGCUGAGUAAGUCGGAUGUUAAAUCCCCAGGCUCAACCUGGGACACCACCCGAUACUGCUCUGGCUAGAGUCCGGUAGGGGAGCGUGGAAUUCCUGGUGUAGCGGUGAAAUGCGCAGAUAUCAGGAGGAACACCAGCGGCGAAGGCGGCGCUCUGGGCCGGUACUGACACUGAGGAGCGAAAGCGUGGGUAGCAAACAGGAUUAGA